CAGCAGCCACGGGAAUACGGAGGGUGCAAGCGUUAAUCGGAAUUACUGGGCGUAAAGCGUGCGUAGGCGGUUCGUUAAGUCUGUUGUGAAAGCCCCGGGCUCAACCUGGGAAUGGCAAUGGAUACUGGCGAGCUAGAGUGUGUCAGAGGAUGGUGGAAUUCCCGGUGUAGCGGUGAAAUGCGUAGAGAUCGGGAGGAACAUCAGUGGCGAAGGCGGCCAUCUGGGACAACACUGACGCUGAGGCACGAAAGCGUGGGGAGCAAACAGGAUUAGAUACCCCAGUAGUCCCUGUCUCUUAUAC
rnacentral:rRNA from 1 species